UACGGGGGGAGCAAGCGUUGUUCGGAUUUACUGGGCGUAAAGGGCGCGUAGGCGGCCAGCGCAAGUCAGUUGUGAAAUCUCCGGGCUUAACUCGGAACGGUCAACUGAUACUGCGCGGCUAGAGUGCAGAAGGGGCAACUGGAAUUCUCGGUGUAGCGGUGAAAUGCGUAGAUAUCUGGAGGAACAUCGGUGGCGAAGGCGGCAUCCUGGACCGGUAUUGACGCUGAGGCGCGAAAGCCAGGGGGAGCAAACGGG
rnacentral:rRNA from 1 species